GUUUGAUGGAUGGACACAGACAUCCAGUUCCUAAGUUUCACAUCAUGUCUCCAUGCUAUAUUUUAAUUAGUAAAUGUAUUUAAUUUACUUUUCAAAGCCUAACCUGUGCUUGAAUAAUGCCCACUGAUUUUCUCUGUGAGAAAAGCUCUAGGGAACAGAAAGAGCAAGGUCAAAUCCCUUCUCAAGCCAAAGGAGAUGAGCCUUCUGGUCAGCUGAGGUCCUUAGAAACACCUUGUACUGUGGAUGCAACCAUCUUUCUAGCUAACAAAUAAUUUAGUUCUGGGUGUUAUGAAUCCUUGGCUUUUUGUGAGUAUAGAAAUUUAUUAGAAACACAGAAAGUCUCACCUUUAUAAAUAAUGAAAGUUGCUUAUGCAAAAUUACUUUAGUGAAUGAUCUGAAAUCUAAGUGACAAAAUAGAGUAUUCAUCCCGUCUGACAAAAGAAAAAAGAGAGGUGAGGGAGUGAUAACAAUGUAAGAGCAUAUAGGAGGGUGGAGUGGACUACAUCUUUCUUCUAAGUAUCUCUCUGACCCAAUGUAUUUGUGACUACAGCUCUGUAAUUUUGAGGUAAAUUAAUUCAAUUCAAGGAGGCACAGGAGAGGAGGGAAGCCUGCCAUCAGCAUUCAUAUGGGUGCAACAGGUAUAAAAAGACAAUAUUCAGCAUCCCUCUUAUUACAUCCACCACUAAACCAGAAUGCUAUUAGCAGUCGUGGCACAACAGAGAACAGGAGGGGAGAUAAAGAAAGAAAAGAAAUCAGGAUUGAUGUUCUCUUCCUGUAUUUGUUAUCUUACAGAAAACAGCAGCAGAAUACAAAUCAACCCACCUCGUGUAUUGGAGGGUGGGAUCCUUUGAGAUUCUUGUUUUAUGGAUGAAAUAAAUUCAGUCAUUGGGAGAUGAAAAACUCUGUAAGUGUAGACAAAACCUAACCUUUUGCAUAUGUUUUUUCUCCAGUCAAGAGCUUUCAGAACAGAGAGUGGUAUGAAGGGAAAUGCCAACAGUGGCUCUGCUAAGGAUGGUCACAAUUACCUCCUUAUCGGAAGAAAUGCGCCGAUGGAUUACUUCUGCUCCUUUCAUGGGAACUCCUCCCUGGAGAUGACAGUAGAAUGCCUGCAGUUCUUUACCUGAAAACACGAGUUUCCAUGUGCUACAGACCAAACCAGCAUCUGUUCUGCUUCGGAAAGGAGGCUGUAUCUUCCUAAAAAUGUAAAAACAGAGCAAGCAUGAGGCUGGUGGAGCGAUCCCACCUCACCACCAUCACCUCCGGUUCUGCGCUGGCAGCGUUGCAAAGUUAUUCCCCACAUUAUAGUACACACUGAAAAGCAAGAGAGAUUUCACAGCAGCAAGAAUUGAUAUCGGAUUGAAAAGCACCCAGAAAUGGCUUGAAGAAGCACUAAGACCCCUGCCAGGAGCUGCUGUCCCGUUUUGUGUCCUCCAGGCCUGUGGCUCGGCACGGUGUCCCUGACACAUGUCACCACGCAGCAUCUUCUCCUCCCUUUUGCUCUGACAGCUGGUUAUUGCCAAGGGACCUGAGAGGAGUGGAGGUGAGGGAAUUAUUGCUGGUAAUAAUGUCUGCAGCAAAAGCCUUCUUACCACGCUUUGUUUUAACCCAACCUGCUCCAUAUGAAGGGGUUGAUCACUUGUAAGUUCUCCUGCAGUGCUCAGGUUGUAGAGUGGCUCCUGAUACCUGUGUGAUUUUCCCAUGGCUGUGGGUUUUGCCUCUUAGUGCUUCAAUCGCAGCCUGUUCUCUGAUAAAUCUAAUAAAAACUCUUAAAGAUGCAAAUAAUACCUUACCCUGACAGGCUAAGGUCUCAUAGGAAACAGACUAUGACCCUUGACUUGUCCUUUUUAACUAGCGAUGGUAUUUAUAGUUCCACUAAAAAUGGCUUUUCCACUAUUUUUACAGAAGGGUUGUGUGCUGUGCCUUACCCUUUGAUAAUGAAGGGGUUACCCAGCCAGUAUAACUGCUCCAUGCAGCAGGACUGAAUGCAGGUAAUUUCUCAGCCAGCCAAUUUGCCAUUCUCUCUUUUUAUGCUAUUACUCUUCCCUUCAGUGUAAGCCUCCCUUCACACGCGACCCCAUCAAUAAUGCUAAGCCCAAUGCAGAGCUUUGUUUCAAAGAAGAUAGCUGUGGAUCCUCACUGCUAAUGCUUAGCCAGCUCUUGCUUAAACAGAACACCUGGGGGCUGUUUAAGGGGGCUUGAGCCCAUAAGGGAACCCCUUCAAAAAGGCACAGUUUUCUUUUAUGGCAUAUCUUACCUACUCCAUUCCUGGGAUACAGCAGUGGCACAAGUUAAUUGCAGAGCGACUGGGGAAUAGUAUCACUCCACUGACAUGAAUAACUGCAGAAUUGCCAUUAUUUCCAGGAGAGCUACAGUGCAGUCCUUACAAAUAACUGUACAAUUGACUUACAUAAACCCUGGUUUUGUCCUUCAAAUGUUUUCCAGAUAACAGAAGCUGCCAUUGUGAGGGAUUUCAUAGUUAUGCAUUAAGAAAAUUAAAGAUCUAUAGUUAAGCAAAAGUCAGAAAUCUCAUUGAUGUUACUAAAUUAGACUUUACUACUUUACCUAUGCAAGAUAAAGCCCACAUAACCCAUGCAACUUUUUGCCCAAAUGAGGUAAGAAGAUUUAGCCAGUGAAACACCACUGACUAUGCAUGAAUGGUAACCCAAGAGACAGCAGUUUUGCCUCUUUGGACAGAACUAGUAUAUCACUUCAAGCUAGGAAAAAAAUCUAUAUGGACUACACAUGCAAAUGUCUAGAGGGAAACAGGGCUGACAAAAGCCAUUUUUAUUGUUUGCAUGAUUUGCUCCAGCUUAGAACAACACUGCAAGUUAUUAGUUAUUUAUAUAUCUUUAAAAAGUUGCAUAUUUUGUCCUUCC